rnacentral:rRNA from 1 species
GACGUAGGUGGCGAACGUUAUCCGGAAUUAUUGGGCGUAAGGAUGCGUAGAUGGUGUAGUAAGUUAUCGGUGGUAAAUCGAGGCUCAACCUCGUGGAAGUCGGUAAUACUGCUAUGCUAGAGGAUAGGAGAGGUUAACGGAACUCCCUGUGGAGCGGUGAAAUGCGUAGAUAUAGGGAAGAACACCAAUAAGGCGAAGGCAGUUAACUAUUCUAUUCCUGACAUUGAGGCACGAAAGCGUGGGGAGCAAAACGG